rnacentral:rRNA from 1 species
AUGUCGAACGAAGCACUUGUGCUUAGUGGCGAAUGGGUGAGUAACACGUACUUAAUCUGCCCUCAAGUCUGGGACAACAGUUGGAAACGACUGCUAAUACCGGAUAUGUAUAACUUCCGCAUGGAGGUUAUAUGAAAGGAGCGUUUGCUUCGCUUAAGGAUGAGAGUGCGCUGUAUUAGUUAGUUGGUAGGGUAAAGGCCUACCAAGACGAUGAUACAUAGCGGGGUCGAGAGGCUGAACCGCCACACUGGGACUGAGAUACGGCCCAGACUCCUACGGGAGGCAGCAGUAGGGAAUUUUCCACAAUGAACGAAAGUUUGAUGGAGCGACACAGCGUGCAGGAUGAAGGUCUUCGGAUUGUAAACUGCUGUUAUAAGAGAAGAACAAGUUUGAUAGGAAAUGAUCAAACCCUGACGGUACCUUAUCAGAAAGCACCGGCAAACUAUGUGCCAGCAGCCGCGGUAAUACAUAGGGUGCAAGCGUUAUCCGGAAUUAUUGGGCGUAAAGCGUUCGUAGGC